rnacentral:precursor_RNA from 10 species
NNNNNUGAUGUUGAUGAGAUUUUCUGACUGUCUUUGGUUAUCUAGCUGUAUGAUUGGUUCGAUACGUCAUAAAGCUAGGUUACCGAAGCAAAACGGAAAACGGUUUGCAACUGAUGCGCUG